AUACGGAAGGUCCGGGCGUUAUCCGGAUUUAUUGGGUUUAAAGGGAGCGCAGGCCGAUGGUUAAGCGUGACGUGAAAUGUAGCCGCUCAACGGCUGAACUGCGUCGCGAACUGGCUGUCUUGAGUGAGUUCGAUGUGGGCGGAAUUCGUGGUGUAGCGGUGAAAUGCUUAGAUAUCACGAAGAACUCCGAUUGCGAAGGCAGCCCACAAGGCCUUUACUGACGCUAAAGCUCGAAGGUGCGGGUAUCGAACAGGAUUAGAUACCCUGGUAGUCCGCACGGUAAACGAUGGAUGCCCGCUGUUUGCGAUAUACUGUGAGCGGCCAAGAGAAAUCGUUAAGCAUCCCACCUGGGGAGUACGCCGGCAACGGUGAAACUCAAAUGAAUUGACGGGG
rnacentral:rRNA from 1 species